CACCUGCUUGAGCACCUUGUAGAUGAACGACGAGUACGAGGUGUAGUUUUUCUUGCGCUGGCCGCGGCCGCGCUUGCCGACCUUGGCCGCGGCGCCGCCCUCGGCCUUGGCGGCCGUCGAGAGGACGAUCUUUUUCUUGCCCUGCUUGCCGGCCUUUUUCUUGGUCGCUUUGGUGCCCGGCUCGGCCUUGGGCGCGGCGUCGGCCUCGCUCACGGCAGAAGGCGCGGUGGCCUCGUUGUCGGCGGUCUCGCUGGCGACCGCCUGCGGCUCGGGCGCGACCUCGGUGUUGGUGUCCAUAGGUGACGGGGCAGACAUGGGAGUGGAAAAAAGAAAAGUUGGAGGCGGAAAAAAAGGCGAGCAG
rnacentral:lncRNA from 1 species